rnacentral:rRNA from 1 species
AUACGUAGGGGGCGAGCGUUGUCCGGAAUUAUUGGGCGUAAAGCGCGCGCAGGCGGCCGAUUAAGUCAGGUGUGAAAGGCUGCGGCUCAACCGCAGAGUUGCAUCUGAAACUGGUCGGCUUGAGUGCAGGAGAGGGGAGCGGAAUUCCCGGUGUAGCGGUGGAAUGCGUAGAGAUCGGGAGGAACACCAGUGGCGAAGGCGGCUCUCUGGCCUGUAACUGACGCUGAGGCGCGAAAGCGUGGGGAGCGAACAGGAUUAGAUACCCUGGUAGUCCACGCCGUAAACGAUGAGUGCUAGGUGUUGGGGGCAUCAGGCCCUCUGUGCCGAAGGAAACCCAAUAAGCACUCCGCCUGGGGAGUACGGCCGCAAGGCUGAA